AUCACAGCCCUGUGGCAAUGGCCGUCGGGUCCUGUACGACUCUCUCUGACGAGCGAGUUGACGUUCUAAGGGAAGGGUGAACGUGUGUUGAACUUUUAUGUGCAUCUUUACUCGCUCUUUUUGGUAUAUUCGCAAAUUAAUAUGUAGCAUACAGCAUCCGAGGACUGUACAGCAAGAUAUUCUCCCAAGGACAGGAGAUGGUGUUGGAGCAGAAGGAUGAUGGACGCAGCCUCCACCCCCGCCCCGCCCUCCCCCCCACCCUCGCCGACACCCUCCUCGUCAGAUGAUGCUCCGCACAUCUCACACACGCCAUCCGCAGCCUCCCUAGUCUCAUCCUCGCCCGCACCCUCCACCUCCUCUCGGUGUAAGUCUUCGUCAGCGUCGUGUCCUGGAGCCUGCCCCUCCUAUGAACCCGCCUCAUCAACCAGCAACCCACCACAGGCGGGUGAAUCAACAGCUGGGUGCAGCAGCUGCGAGGUCACUUCCGCCUCACUACAAGACACUGUCUCCUCCAGACACAGAGUCGAGUCCCAGAUUACGCUCGACCCUCCAUCUUCCUCACUCCACUUCUCGCCUGAGGUCUCCAGCUCUAACUUAGGGUUGGAUGAGACUUACCUCGGCGAUGUGGCUCACUCCUGCACGCCAGGAGCCAGCGGCUCCGCCUCGCCGCGGGCUCCUGACUCCUCUGAAGCGGCCAGCGGCUCCCACUUCCGCUCCUCGUGGCAACCCCGAAGUUCUUGCCCUAAUCUAGCCGUGGCGUCUUCCAGCGGCUGGCCGCAGGAGUGCCUGAGACCCACCAGCGAGAGCCUGGUCUCCCGCUCCACCUGGCUGACCUCGCCCGGCGCAGGCACGCCCUCCUCAUGGCACUCCGGGGCAUACUGGGGCACUCUGGAGGCCUCCGACGUCAGCUCCACGGAGCCUCCUGACUCCACCAAGUCCAACAUGGGGGCGUGUCAGGCGGGGUGGCAGCGGGACUACCCCGGCGCGGUGUCGCACGAACUUACCUCAUCAACAGCUGUGUCACGUGACACCGUCAAUUCCACAGUGGAGGAAGGCGCGGCGUCGUCGUCGUGGUGCCAGGAGGAGGAGGAGGGUGCCACGGGUGCAGCUGCCGCCUGGGAGUGUGACUCUCUCAGCUGUGAAGUAGGAGCCACCUCCUCCCUCACUCCCUGGCCUUCCUCCUCCUGCCACAUACCUCCACCCAACUCUCCUGUCAACUCCACCUCUCAGUGUCCGGCAGAAAGCAGCUUACAGCUUCCAACAUGGAGGAGUCGGGCAUCAUCAGCGCCAUUAAGUUUAACUCGUGUAAUGCCCACGGCGCCUCCCCCGAGGCCUCCGACGCCCCCGCGCCAGCACACGCCCCCAGCCAGCCGUCACCGAGCCUCUAUCCCACCCCCAGCGGCCGUCAGGCGCUCGGCGUCACCCCCAGCACGAAGCCACGGUCGUGGGCAGUCUCCGCCAGCCAGCAGACGCUCCGUGUCUCCUCCACAGCAGCAUCAGAGCCAACACCAGGCGCUGCCCGUCCGCAGGUCGGCGUCACCGCCCCUCCGUCAUCACGCCGCCCAGCACCCUAGACGCUCCGUGUCGCCCGUGUCGUUCCAGGGAACACUUGGCCACCCGCUCUCUCCCACAGUCAGGCGAAGACCCAGACACAGGUCAGCCAGGACCCCAAGCCCUCGCCCGCCGCGCCCCCCUAACUCCACCCCGGAGCCUGGCCCCUCACCAUCCCAGCAGCAGCAGUCGCCUCGCCCUCACUACACCAAGAUGAGGGGACGAUGAGGAAGGGUCCACGCGGUGUCAAGGGGGCGGUGAGUCUAAGAGUCCAGUAAGCCAUAUUGUGCCAAGAUGAGAGAGAACCUUGGUGCACACGGAGCCAAGAGGUGGGGUCAUAGGCCACUGCAACGUGUCCAUGGCAGGGAACUGGCAUGGGUCACGUUGUCAUUGAUCCAUUGUCAUGAAAGAUUGAUUCCAAUAUCCUAGGGCCUGCAGCCUCCCUGUCCCAGGACAUGCCACUCUGGUGGGACUAACAGUAAGUGUGGAGGCAGGUGGAGAUGGUAUACAGUGAAGCUGUAUACCAUGUUCCACUUGUGGCUUGGUUUACUAUGGUUUACUGUGACUUAUUGGGCAAAAAGGAAGAUGGAAGAGAGAAGGGUGACCUCGGGUCACAACCAGGGUUCUCCACGUUCCGUACCUGGGGUCACCACGGGGUACCUGGGGUCACCACGGGGUACCUGGGGUCACCACGGGGUACCUGGGGUCACCACGGGGUACCUGGGGUCACCACGGGGUACCUGGGGUCACCACGGGGUACCUGGGGUCACCUCGGGGUACCUGGGGUCACCACGGGGUACCUGGGGUCACCUCGGGGUACCUGGGGUCACCACGGGGUACCUGGGGUCACCACGGGGUACCUGGGGUCACCACGGGGUACCUGGGGUCACCACGGGGAUACACUGUCUGGGGUCACCGCCUUGGGUCACCACUUGGGGUCGCCAGUGGGGUCACCACCACGCGGGCAUCAAUACAUAUCAUUGCGUCAUAUAUCAGAGCCCUUAUAUCAUGCAUAUAUUUUAUACUCAUGACAUCUGACUUGGUGUCAGGUAACGCCAGACACCAACCAAUACUUGGUGUCAGGUAACGCCAGACACCAACCAAUACUUGGUGUCAGGUAACGCCAGACACCAACCAAUACUUGGUGUCUGGUAACGCCAGACACCAACCAAUACUUGGUGUCAGGUAACGUCAGACACCAACCAAUACUUGGUGUCAGGUAACGCCAGACACCAACCAAUACUUGGUGUCAGGUAACGCCAGACACCAACCAAUACUUGGUGUCAGGUAACGCCAGACACCAACCAAUACUUGGUGUCAGGUAACGCCAGGCACCAACCAAUACUUGGUGUCAGGUAACGCCAGGCACCAACCAAUACUUGGUGUCUGGUAACGCCAGACACCAACCAAUA
rnacentral:misc_RNA from 1 species